UUUGUGCCUUCGGGAACUGUAAGACAGGUGCUGCAUGGCUGUCGUCAGCUCGUGUUGUGAAAUGUUGGGGUUAAGUCCCGCAACGAGCGCAACCCUUAUCCUUAGUUGCCAGCGAUUCGGUCGGAACUCUAGGGAGACUGCCGGUGAUAAACCGGAGGAAGGUGGGGACGACGUCAAGUCAUCAUGGCCUUACGAGUAGGGCUACACACGUGCUACAAUGGUAUGUACAGAGGGAGGCAAGCUGGCGACAGUGAGCGGAUCUCUUAAAGCAUAUCGUAGUCCGGAUUGGAGUCUGCAACUCGACUCCAUGAAGUCGGAAUCGCUAGUAACCGCAAAUCAGAAUGUUGCGGUGAAUACGUUCCCGGGCCUU
rnacentral:rRNA from 1 species